GUGAGGAAUAUUGGACAAUGGGCGCAAGCCUGAUCCAGCCAUGCCGCGUGCAGGAAGACGCAUCUAUGGUGUGUAAACUGCUUUUGUACGGGAAGAAACACUCCCUCGUGAGGGAGCUUGACGGUACCGUAAGAAUAAGGAUCGGCUAACUCCGUGCCAGCAGCCGCGGUAAUACGGAGGAUCCAAGCGUUAUCCGGAAUCAUUGGGUUUAAAGGGUCCGUAGGCGGUUUAAUAAGUCAGUGGUGAAAGCCCAUCGCUCAACGAUGGAACGGGCAUUGAUACUGUUAGACUUGAAUUACAAGGAAGUAACUAGAAUAUGUAGUGUAGCGGUGAAAUGCUUAGAUAUUACAUGGAAUACCAAUUGCGAAGGCAGGUUACUACUUGUGGAUUGACGCUGAUGGACGAAAGCGUGGGGAGCGAACAGGAUUAGAAACCCGGGUAGUCC
rnacentral:rRNA from 1 species